rnacentral:rRNA from 1 species
GCAACUCUUAGCGGUGGAUCACUCGGCUCGUGCGU